rnacentral:snRNA from 1 species
GUGCUCGCUUUGGCAGCAUAUAUACUAAAAUUGGAACGAUACAGAGAAGAUUAGCAUGGCCCUUGUGCAAGGAUGACACACAAAUUUGUGAAGCGUUCCAUAUUUUU